rnacentral:rRNA from 1 species
AUUCCAGCUCCAAUAGCGUAUAUUAAAGUUGUUGCGGUUAAAAAGCUCGUAGUUGGAUCUCGGCGGGCAGGGGGUGGUUCGCUCUUCAGCGCUACUGUUUUUUCGUUUUUUUUUUCUUUUCUUCUGUUUCGGGGUGCUCUUCGUUGAGUGACUCGGAGCGCCGUCAGGUUUACUUUGAAAAAAUUAGAGUGCUCAAAGCAGGCUUUUCACGCUUGAAUAUUCGUGCAUGGAAUAAUGGAAUAGGAACUCGUUUCUAUUUUGUUGGUUUUCGGAAAUCGAGUUAAUGAUUAACAGGGACAAUUGGGGGCAUUAGUAUUCAGACGACAGAGGUGAAAUUCUUGGACCGUCUGAAGACUGACUACUGCGAAAGCAUUUGCCAAGAGUGUUUUCAUCG